CGAACGAGUUCUCGAUUGAUGAUCGGUGCUUGCACCGAGAUUCAACAUGGAACGAGUGGCGGACGGGUGAGUAACACGUGGGUAACCUGCCCUUAAGUGGGGGAUAACAUUUGGAAACAGAUGCUAAUACCGCAUAGAUCCAAGAACCGCAUGGUUCUUGGCUGAAAGAUGGCGUAAGCUAUCGCUUUUGGAUGGACCCGCGGCGUAUUAGCUAGUUGGUGAGGUAAUGGCUCACCAAGGCGAUGAUACGUAGCCGAACUGAGAGGUUGAUCGGCCACAUUGGGACUGAGACACGGCCCAAACUCCUACGGGAGGCAGCAGUAGGGAAUCUUCCACAAUGGACGCAAGUCUGAUGGAGCAACGCCGCGUGAGUGAAGAAGGCUUUCGGGUCGUAAAACUCUGUUGUUGGAGAAGAAUGGUCGGCAGAGUAACUGUUGUCGGCGUGACGGUAUCCAACCAGAAAGCCACGGCUAACUACGUGCCAGCAGCCGCGGUAAUACGUAGGUGGCAAGCGUUAUCCGGAUUUAUUGGGCGUAAAGCGAGCGCAGGCGGUUUUUUAAGUCUGAUGUGAAAGCCCUCGGCUUAACCGAGGAAGCGCAUCGGAAACUGGGAAACUUGAGUGCAGAAGAGGACAGUGGAACUCCAUGUGUAGCGGUGAAAUGCGUAGAUAUAUGGAAGAACACCAGUGGCGAAGGCGGCUGUCUGGUCUGUAACUGACGCUGAGGCUCGAAAGCAUGGGUAGCGAACAGGAUUAGAUACCCUGGUAGUCCAUGCCGUAAACGAUGAAUGCUAGGUGUUGGAGGGUUUCCGCCCUUCAGUGCCGCAGCUAACGCAUUAAGCAUUCCGCCUGGGGAGUACGACCGCAAGGUUGAAACUCAAAGGAAUUGACGGGGGCCCGCACAAGCGGUGGAGCAUGUGGUUUAAUUCGAAGCAACGCGAAGAACCUUACCA
rnacentral:rRNA from 1 species